GGACGAACGCUGGCGGCGUGCUUAACACAUGCAAGUCGAACGAAAAGAGGGAAAGAGCUUGCUCUUUCCGGAAUUGAGUGGCAAACGGGUGAGUAACACGUAAACAACCUGCCUUCAGGAUGGGGACAACAGACGGAAACGACUGCUAAUACCGAAUAAGUUCCAAGAGCCGCAUGGCCCAUGGAAGAAAAGGUGGCCUCUACCUGUAAGCUAUCGCCUGAAGAGGGGUUUGCGUCUGAUUAGCUGGUUGGAGGGGUAACGGCCCACCAAGGCGACGAUCAGUAGCCGGUCUGAGAGGAUGAACGGCCACACUGGAACUGAGACACGGUCCAGACUCCUACGGGAGGCAGCAGUGGGGAAUCUUCCGCAAUGGGCGAAAGCCUGACGGAGCAACGCCGCGUGAGUGAGGACGGCCUUCGGGUUGUAAAACUCUGUGAUCCGGGACGAAAAGGCAGAGUGCGAAGAACAAACUGCAUUGACGGUACCGGAAAAGCAAGCCACGGCUAACUACGUG
rnacentral:rRNA from 1 species